AUUGAACGCUGGCGGCAGGCCUAACACAUGCAAGUCGAGCGGAGAGGCGGAAGGGUGAGUGAUGCCUAGGAAUAUGCCUGGUCGUAGGGGAUAACGUCCGGAAACGGGCGCUAAUACCGCAUACUAUCAGAUGAGCCUAGGUCUGAUUAGCGAGGUGGUGGGGUAAAGGCCUACCAAGGCGACGAUCCGUAACUGGUCUGAGAGGAUGAUCAUUCACACUGGAACUGAGACACGGUCCCGACUCCUACGGGAGGCAGCAGUGGGGAAUAUUGGACAAUGGGCGAAAUCCGGAUCCAGCCAUGCCGCGUGUGUGAAGAAGGUCUUCUGAUUGUAAAGCACUUUAAGUUGGGAGGCGUUACCAACAGAAGAAGCACCGGCUAACUUCGUGCCAGCAGCCGCGGUAAUUC
rnacentral:rRNA from 1 species